GGGGUUGUAGCUCAGUGGCAGAGUACUUGCCUGCCGUGUGGGAGGCACUGGGUUCGAUUCUCAGCACCA
rnacentral:tRNA from 1 species